GGAGCCGUGGCCUACUGGUUAGCGCUUCGGACUUGUAACCGGAGGGUUGCCGGUUCGAACCGGUUCGGGACCA
rnacentral:tRNA from 1 species